rnacentral:lncRNA from 1 species
GGUUCUCUCCACUUUUCAUGUCAUUACUAGUUUUACUUAAAACAUUAUCCUAUAACUUUUGUCAAAACCAAAAAAAUCGGACUGGACCGAACAGGCCUGAUCUUGCGAGCCCAUAAAUUGAGAGCGGCGGCGAAUUGGCAGUAUGGGCCUUAUAAAACUCAGAACAUGUUUCCAGGUCUUUUUUUGCCCUUUUUGUGCAGCAAAGAAUAAAUAAACUUUAUUAAAAUCUCAUGAAAGUA